GGAUGACAGGAGCAGCUGCUGAGGCUGAAACCACAGAACCUUUGUACAACAGAAGUGAGGAUACAGGAGACUGUGAUCCACAGAGAGAGUCCAACAGAGCCCCGGUGGUCACAGACCAGAUCUGUGAAGACACAAAAAAUGGAGGCACACUGCUGAGGGGGUGGAGUCAACAGGCACUGCCUCCUGGACACAGAGCAGCUGUUGACCAUUGAUGAGGCUCCACCUCAUCAGACAUCCAUCAGCAGCCAAUGAGAGACAGCAAGACAAGCUGUCAAUCACCUGGACGUGCAGGACAGCCUCUGGUGUGAACCAACUGCUGGUCAACCAGACUCCACACCGCCACCACUCCAUCAUCUGAACCUGCCACCAGGACCUGCAGCUGCACACUGACAUCCAAACAGACGACACCUGGGGACACAGGGACAGGGAACUCACGACAAAGGCUGGACCAGCUGAAAUUCUGCAACAGUUUUCCAUCUCCUUCAGGAAGACUUCACAGGAAUCAUGAUCUCCAGACGUAACGUUUCUAAUCCCCCAUCGCAGGUCCACCACCUGGAGGGGGGGCAUUCCACUGAUCAGAGAGCAGGUUAGUGUGACCAGUUCAGAUCACUUCAAAGUGGACCUCACCUCAAACACGAGGCCCAGACUGCGACAGAAGGACAGGACUUCUGGAUAAGCCUUCUCCAACAGGACCUUCCUCUCACUGCUCAUAUCUGAGAAGAGAAACAUCAAACUGGCAGAGGCUCCGAGACCAGCGCCAGAAAAUGUGAAAAAAAAAGUGAAAUAAGCUGUGGUGUCAGGAAAGAGAAGGAAAUCUGUCAACAGGUUGUUACACGGUCCAGGCAGCGACUGUUCUGGGUUGGUCUGACCAUGAACCUGUUACUAAGACGGUAAUUCCCAAACAGAACUGUGGAAAGGCAUAAACUUCUUGGUUCAUUCCACUUUAAAAAUGAUUUCCUGAACACAACCCCAAACCUGUAUGCAGCCAACAGUCUGUUGUCUCCUGGCUGUGGAACUGUUGGACUCCUCAUAGUGUCAUAAACCGGUCUCUACAACGACUCACUAAUCGCAUGAUUUCCUGUCACUUCAAAGACUUCUGAUGUUAAAAUUUAAUUUACAGGUGUUGUCAGAGAACACAAAUGAAAGAACUCUGACCUGUGAACGUGGAGCUGAUGAAGACACGGAUCAUGUUGGAGCAGACACCAACGUCUUCUCCUUCUCCUGCGUCUAUGAGAUCUGCACUCCCUCAGCGGGUCCUUCGACUCCUGCCCGUGUCUCCUCCUCCGAGACUCGACUCCAGGACAACCACUGCUCCACCAGGACCUGUAGCAG